rnacentral:rRNA from 1 species
GAUGAACGCUGGCGGCGUGCCUAAUACAUGCAAGUCGAGCGAACGGACGAGAAGCUUGCUUCUCUGAUGUUAGCGGCGGACGGGUGAGUAACACGUGGAUAACCUACCUAUAAGACUGGGAUAACUUCGGGAAACCGGAGCUAAUACCGGAUAAUAUUUUGAACCGCAUGGUUCAAAAGUGAAAGACGGUCUUGCUGUCACUUAUAGAUGGAUCCGCGCUGCAUUAGCUAGUUGGUAAGGUAACGGCUUACCAAGGCAACGAUGCAUAGACGACGUGAGAGGGUGAUCGCCCACCUUGGAACGUGAACACGGUCCUGGCUCCUAAGGGAGGCCGCAGUAGGGAAUCUUCCGCAAUGGGCGAAAGCCUUACGGAGCAACGCCGCGUGAGUGAUGAAGGCCCUCGGAUCGUAAAACUCUGUUAUUAGGUAAAAACAUAUGUGUAAGUAACUGUGCACAUCUUGACGGUACCUAAUCAGAAAGCCACGGCUAACUACGUG